rnacentral:tRNA from 1 species
UGAGGAGUAGCUCAGAUGGCAGAGCAGACGACCGAUAAUCGUCAGGUCACUGGUUCGAUCCCAGUCUCCUCAACCA